rnacentral:lncRNA from 1 species
CUCAAGUAACGGUGCUGGACGAUACAUAUCAUCAACUCCUGCAAUUACCUAUCAAACAUUCCAAAGAAAAAAACAUCACUGGAUGCCAAUGCAUACCACUGCUUGAUGAAAUAAUAUAUAAGUAAUACAAAACUACAAUUCAGUACAUUAUUUAGUUUUUGUCAGAAAUGGGAAUUAAAAUAAAUCAAAAGAGAGACUAUACUUUCAUGUGAGAAGAACAUCUUGAGUUUAUGAACAAACAUUUUUGAAAUAUGUGAACAAAUUUCAAAAUUAUAGUAAUAUUUUAAAAAUAUGUUAACACUUGUUAAGUUACGCAGAAAAAGGCUAUAAUAGUUCAAAAUUAUAGUAAUAUUUUAAAAAUAUGUUAACACUUGUUAAGUUACGCAGAAAAAGGCUAUAAUAGUCAACAAUGCAAGUCUCUUCAAACAAGAAACCCAACCCGUCCGACACUUAUCCAUCAGCACCAAGUGCUUUGUAGUAGAAAUAUCAGCCAAAAUAUGCACUACUGAUUAUAUGAACUGGAGCAUCACACUUUGAAGAAGAAACAGGAAUAUAUUUAAUAGACAACGUACUGAACUUGGUUGACAGUACACGAAAUUCCAUACCAUAUGAGCCUUGUAAAAAGAAAAGAUGUAUUUACUAUAUCAUCUAUCAUUCUAGCAUAGCGAGUACAGCCUUAAGAUAAAGAGACGAUUCAUAAUGGAGUUGACAGAUGCCAUUUGGACGAUCAAGAGUACAUAAUCAGUUGGGCUACAAAGCAGCAGAGCAAGUAUGUGAGUAAAUGGGAAUCCUGGCACAAGCCGCUUUCACAUUUACAAAGGGAAGAAUCCUGGCAGAUGCCAUUUGUACAAGCCGCUUUCACAUUUACAAAGGGAAGAAUCCUGGCAUAAAGACUUUGUGACCCUGACUAAAUGGGAAUCCUAAUCAGUAUGUAAAAGCGGAGAUAAAGCCAUAACUAAAUGGAAAUCAAAAGCUACUACAUCAACAAAAAGUACAGUCCUGUGCCAUGGAGUUAAUAACUACUUAAUAUUGGAUAUAAACAGCAAAUAUAAAAAAACUGCUACCUGUCAAUCAUUUCCACAUCUUACAUCUGAGACAUACUUUUAAAACCGCAAGCUCCUCAACUCACAACAGAAAAUAAGAAAUGUGACUCGAUCGUCUGUUUUCAGGGAAACAACAUGACACACAUAAUUAAGGAUCCAUUCGCAAGUUUAUAACGAAUGGAUGGCAAGAAAUAAAUGAUCUCUAGCAAAGCAAUCUUACAUGGCUAAUAGAGUGGAGGUUGAGAAACCUCACCGUCUGACAUCAGCAGGAGGAGCUCAAGUGGGCCUUGGAAUCGCCCGUGCUGCCAUGGAAGUUCUAUGCACCGCGAGCAGUCCCAACGGCGCUUUCACUUCAUAUGGUGUGAUAACCUGAACUCUGUACAUCAAGCAGUAAUCUUAUUGUUACCACUCUUUUCACAAACAAAUAGUAGCAAGCAUAGCAGUUAUAGGCACGUUCAUACAUCCGAUCAAUAACAACAUCAUGCCCACGCGUAUCACCACUCUUGUGCCAAUGGCAUACCAGCAGGAAAGUAUCAUUACAUGGUUUAUUGUGCUCAGCUUAUCAAUCACUACUACCAAUUAAUUCGCACGGCGAAACAAUGCAUCAUUAUCUAAUGGUUGUUCAGGGCGGCCUGAGUUGAUGCAGUAGUACCUUUCUUUUGAUGCAGUAGUCGUGGUCGCUGCAGCAGGCACAGCAGAUGUCUCAACCUCCUCUUUCGUCUUUGGGUGGCCAUCCUCCUU